CAAUACAGCAGACUACCAUGCAGUCGAGCGGUAGCACAGAGAGCUUGCUCUCGGGUGACGAGCGGCGGACGGGUGAGUAAUGUCUGGGAAACUGCCUGAUGGAGGGGGAUAACUACUGGAAACGGUAGCUAAUACCGCAUAACGUCGCAAGACCAAAGAGGGGGACCUUCGGGCCUCUUGCCAUCAGAUGUGCCCAGAUGGGAUUAGCUAGUAGGUGGGGUAACGGCUCACCUAGGCGACGAUCCCUAGCUGGUCUGAGAGGAUGACCAGCCACACUGGAACUGAGACACGGUCCAGACUCCUACGGGAGGCAGCAGUGGGGAAUAUUGCACAAUGGGCGCAAGCCUGAUGCAGCCAUGCCGCGUGUAUGAAGAAGGCCUUCGGGUUGUAAAGUACUUUCAGCGGGGAGGAAGGUGUUGAGGUUAAUAACCUCAGCAAUUGACGUUACCCGCAGAAGAAGCACCGGCUAACUCCGUGCCAGCAGCCGCGGUAAUACGGAGGGUGCAAGCGUUAAUCGGAAUUACUGGGCGUAAAGCGCACGCAGGCGGUCUGUCAAGUCGGAUGUGAAAUCCCCGGGCUCAACCUGGGAACUGCAUUCGAAACUGGCAGGCUAGAGUCUUGUAGAGGGGGGUAGAAUUCCAGGUGUAGCGGUGAAAUGCGUAGAGAUCUGGAGGAAUACCGGUGGCGAAGGCGGCCCCCUGGACAAAGACUGACGCUCAGGUGCGAAAGCGUGGGGAGCAAACAGGAUUAGAUACCCUGGUAGUCCACGCCGUAUACGAUGUCGACUUGGAGGUUGUGCCCUUGAGGCGUGGCUUCCGGAGCUAACGCGUUAAGUCGACCGCCUGGGGAGUACGGCCGCAAGGUUAAAACUCAAAUGAAUUGACGGGGGCCCGCACAAGCGGUGGAGCAUGUGGUUUAAUUCGAUGCAACGCGAGAACCUUACCUACUCUUGACAUCCAGAGAACUUAGCAGAGAUGCAUUGGUGCCUUCGGGAACUCUGAGACAGGUGCUGCAUGCUGUCGUCAGCUCGUGUUGUGAAAUGUUGGGUUAAGUCCCGCAACGAGCGCAACCCUUAUCCUUUGUUGCCAGCCGGUCCGGCCC
rnacentral:rRNA from 1 species